UCAUUUGUGUGGCAUUUUUAGUAUCUAUCAGGUAAUCUAAUUUGUCCUAGAUGUUCCUAAAAUAAUUUGUCUGCAGUAAGGCUCGAAAGAGCAGGAUCUGGGAGAGACCCAGGAAGCACGAACAUUAACCCACGUUGCCUUCAGUGACCUGAAGCAUGGCACACCCAAAACUAUGCAUCCCAGCCCAGCCGAGAAGACUGAGGAUGAUGGUGUGAGGAUGAAAGGAGCAGUGGUGAGCAGGGGAGGGGGACAAGAAGCCCCAAGCACUGCUCUGGUGAAACUACCCCUGGCCGAGGACUAGUGGGAGGCUGCAGCCCUGUGCCACCCGACUGAGUCACUGUACUGCUCUGAUAAGCCACAGGCCUUAUCAUGCCUCAGCCUGCAAUCUGCCAAGCACUGAUAACAAAAUUUAAAUACUUCAGAAGAAUGUAGCAAGGCUUAAUUGGGGUUUGUAACAUGUUUUGGACUCCUUACGCGCUGUACCAGUGCAGCAUCUAAGCACCAGCUGGUUUCCAAGUCGAGGUAACAGCAAAUGAUACUCGCAGCAGUGACACAAUGCACCUGCAAUUUUCCAAGUGUGGACAUGAAGAAUGAUGCCUAACAAAGCAGAAACCUUCUUCUUCAAACCAUACUGUGUUAUUGGAAAAUAACCAUUUAGAUGAAGAAGUGGGAAGCAGACAAAUCCAAAGCUUCAUCUGUGGCACUCUGUCAUUUACCUCCAGGAUACCUUGUGAAUGCAGACCAGAUUGCAUGAAGACUAAUUCUGAUCCUUUGGAGAAAACUGUGGUUGGCUGUUCAUUUCCAAGCUAUGUCGGGAUUAAUAGCAAGGCAAAGAAGAAAAAAGAGCAAUUCCAUGGCAGAACAGUACACAUGUGGAGAGCCCAAAGCUGUCUGAGUGGAGCUGGGAGAGGGACAAGUCCUAGGAGAAGCAAAGGCAUCUCCAACAGCCUGGCAUGAAAGGAGUGAGGUAGAAGAAGAACACAUCUUUCUUGCAAUACUUGAUGUGAACAGAAGAGCUUGACAUCUAAGCUGGCAAAACCCUUAGUGCAGAGAACUGCUGGACUAGGAUCCUAGGCAUGGCCUUAUCAAAAAGAAUACUUAAAAAACAACAGUAAUAGUAAUUAAUUACACAGGGAUGGGGACAGAGAACUCUGAUAUAAUUUCAAUUACCUUUGCUUUAUUCAGUUUUUUCCUUUGCUCUUCUUUGCCUUAAGUUUUCUGUUUUCCCUUCUUCUUUUCACUCAUUGAAGCUGCAUUAGAGAAAGCAUUCUUUUCUAUGGAAUUCAGUGGGUUUUGGAUCAAAUAUCCUACAAUGCAUCUGCAGUUCAUUAAAUUUUAAACAGACCUCACAAUCUUUGUGCCAUAUUUUUAUUGUUCACACAAAGCAAAGACAACGUUUGGAAUUCAACCAAAGAAUCAAAGAAGGGCAAACACUCCACCUAUGUCAGACAUCACAUGCUGGAUCAGCUGCUCCAUCUUUUAGAAAGCUAAGUUCUCCUAAGCAGUUUUUCACUGCUGCUACAUAGUCACAUAGACUGACACAGUACAUUAAUUGCUGUCAGAACUGUGAUUGCAGAAAUGCAGUGAAUUCUUUACUUUCUUAGUAAGCUGCCCCUGAAAUAUAUAUAUAUAUAUAUACAUAUUAUAGAAUCUGAUGUAACUGAUUUAAUGAUGUUUUGCAGUAAUGUACAGAUUCUGUACAAUGACUUGCUUUUAGGAAUGUUUAAUUUUUGAACAGUGAUCACUAUGUUACUAUUAUUACUAAACCAGGCAAAGGAAACUCAUGGCUCACAGUCCCUUGCCCAUGAGUUGCCCCCCUCAGCAUUCUGAAAGCAUUGAGUUAAAAUUUAUGGCUCAAAAGCCAUUCAACUUUCAGCACAGAAGAGUUCUCUUCUGACUUAGCCUAAUAAGUAACUAUGAAGAAACAAAGAAGAGGGAAGAAUGACUCAGAAUUAGUUUCUCUGCAUAAACAAUCUGCGCUUCAAUGUGGCAAACACUAAGGUUACAAGACUGAAUCAAAGUGCCUUGCCCACGUAUAUAAGAUAUGGGCCAGCCUUCAAUCCAUGAGUCCAAAAGAGGCCGGAUGUGGAGGUGGAUAAUUAGUUCCUCAGCUGGUGCUUUGGCCAAAGACUCAUAAUCAAUGAUUGAAUUAAAACAAUAAAACAAGUACAGUGUUUACUUUUCCUUCAGAAUCAAUCAGACUAAAAUACCGCAAGCAUCGUCAGACACUAAUAUUGCCCAAAUCUCAGAGAAACAAAGUGCCCACAGGUGUUACUUGUGGGCUGCUCCUAUAUCUCUGCCAAGGAAAUCUCCCUGGUGGGGGUCAGGGACAGCUCCAGCUCAGUGGUUCUCAAGCUAGG